rnacentral:rRNA from 1 species
GACGAACGCUGGCGGCGUGCUUAACACAUGCAAGUCGAACGGUAAGGCCCCAGCUUGCUGGGGUACACGAGUGGCGAACGGGUGAGUAACACGUGGGUGACCUGCCCCGCACUUCGGGAUAAGCCUUGGAAACUGGGUCUAAUACCGGAUAGGACCGCACCGUGAGGGUGUGGUGGAAAGUUUUUCGGUGUGGGAUGGGCCCGCGGCCUAUCGGCUUGUUGGUGGGGUAAUGGCCUACCAAGGCGGCGACGGGUAGCCGGCCUGAGAGGGUGGACGGCCACCUUGGGACUGAGGCACGGCCCAGACUCCUACGGGAGGCAGCAGUGGGGAAUAUUGCACAAUGGGCGGGAGCCUGAUGCAGCGCCGCCGCGUGGGGGAUGACGGCCUUCGGGUUGUAAACUCCUUUCACCGUCGACGAAGGUUUUCUGACGGUAGAUGGAGAAGAAGCACCGGCUAACUACGUG